GUCGAGAAUCUUCCGCAAUGGGCGAAAGCCUGACGGAGCGACGCCGCGUGGAGGACGAAGGCCUUCGGGUUGUAAACUCCUGUCACGAGUUAAGAAGGUCGGCCUACGAACAGUGGGACGAUUUGACGUAAGCUCGAGAGGAAGCACUGGCUAACUCUGUGCCAGCAGCCGCGGUAAUACAGAGAGUGCAAACGUUGUUCGGAAUUACUGGGCUUAAAGCGCACGUAGGCUGCGUCGUAAGUGUCAGGUGAAAUCCCACGGCUCACCCGUGGAACUGCCUGGCAGACUGCGAUGCUAGAGUGUGGUAGGGGAGAGCGGAACUCUUGGUGGAGCGGUGAAAUGCGUAGAUAUCAAGAGGAACACCGGUGGCGAAGGCGGCUCUCUGGUCCACAACUGACGCUGAGGUGCGAAAGCUAGGGGAGCAAACGGGAUUAGAAACCCGUGUAGUCC
rnacentral:rRNA from 1 species